rnacentral:tRNA from 1 species
GGGCCGAUAGCUCAGCUGGUAGAGCACCUCGUUUGCAACGAGGGGGUCUGGAGUUCGAAUCUCCAUCGGUCCA